CGCACUCUCGUUUAGAUUGAAGGAGCUUGCUCCUGAUUGAUAAACAUUUGAGUGAGUGGCGGACGGGUGAGUAACACGUGGGUAACCUGCCCUAAAGUGGGGGAUAACAUUUGGAAACAGAUGCUAAUACCGCAUAAAACCUAACACCGCAUGGUGUAGGGUUGAAAGAUGGUUUCGGCUAUCACUUUAGGAUGGACCCGCGGUGCAUUAGUUAGUUGGUGAGGUAAAGGCUCACCAAGACCGUGAUGCAUAGCCGACCUGAGAGGGUAAUCGGCCACACUGGGACUGAGACACGGCCCAGACUCCUACGGGAGGCAGCAGUAGGGAAUCUUCCACAAUGGACGAAAGUCUGAUGGAGCAACGCCGCGUGAGUGAAGAAGGUUUUCGGAUCGUAAAACUCUGUUGUUGGAGAAGAAUGUAUCUGAUAGUAACUGAUCAGGUAGUGACGGUAUCCAACCAGAAAGCCACGGCUAACUACGUGCCAGCAGCCGCGGUAAUACGUAGGUGGCAAGCGUUGUCCGGAUUUAUUGGGCGUAAAGCGAGCGCAGGCGGUUUCUUAAGUCUGAUGUGAAAGCCUUCGGCUCAACCGAAGAAGUGCAUCGGAAACUGGGAAACUUGAGUGCAGAAGAGGACAGUGGAACUCCAUGUGUAGCGGUGAAAUGCGUAGAUAUAUGGAAGAACACCAGUGGCGAAGGCGGCUGUCUGGUCUGUAACUGACGCUGAGGCUCGAAAGCAUGGGUAGCAAACAGGAUUAGAUACCCUGGUAGUCCAUGCCGUAAACGAUGAGUGCUAGGUGUUGGAGGGUUUCCGCCCUUCAGUGCCGCAGCUAACGCAUUAAGCACUCCGCCUGGGGAGUACGACCGCAAGGUUGAAACUCAAAGGAAUUGACGGGGGCCCGCACAAGCGGUGGAGCAUGUGGUUUAAUUCGAAGCAACGCGAAGAACCUUACCAGGUCUUGACAUCCUUUGACCACUCUAGAGAUAGAGCUUUCCCUUCGGGGACAAAGUGACAGGUGGUGCAUGGUUGUCGUCAGCUCGUGUCGUGAGAUGUUGGGUUAAGUCC
rnacentral:rRNA from 1 species